rnacentral:rRNA from 1 species
CCUACGGGAGGCAGCAGUGAGGAAUAUUGGUCAAUGGACGAGAGUCUGAACCAGCCAAGCAGCGUGAAGGAUGACUGCCCUAUGGGUUGUAAACUUCUUUUAUAUGGGAAUAAAAUGUUCCACGUGUGGGAUUUUGUAUGUACCAUAUGAAUAAGGAUCGGCUAACUCCGUGCCAGCAGCCGCGGUAAUACGGAGGAUCCGAGCGUUAUCCGGAUUUAUUGGGUUUAAAGGGAGCGUAGGUGGAUUGUUAAGUCAGUUGUGAAAGUUUGCGGCUCAACCGUAAAAUUGCAGUUGAAACUGGCAGUCUUGAGUACAGUAGAGGUGGGCGGAAUUCGUGGUGUAGCGGUGAAAUGCUUAGAUAUCACGAAGAACACCGAUUGCGAAGGCAGUUCACUGGACUGCAACUGACACUGAGGUUCGAAAGUGUGGGUAUCAAACAGGAUUAGAUACCCCUGUAGUC